rnacentral:rRNA from 1 species
UGGGGAAUAUUGGACAAUGGGCGAAAGCCUGAUCCAGCCAUGCCGCGUGUGUGAAGAAGGUCUUCGGAUUGUAAAGCACUUUAAGUUGGGAGGAAGGGCAGUAAGCGAAUACCUUGCUGUUUUGACGUUACCGACAGAAUAAGCACCGGCUAACUCUGUGCCAGCAGCCGCGGUAAUACAGAGGGUGCAAGCGUUAAUCGGAAUUACUGGGCGUAAAGCGCGCGUAGGUGGUUCGUUAAGUUGAAUGUGAAAGCCCCGGGCUCAACCUGGGAACUGCAUCCAAAACUGGCGAGCUAGAGUAGGGCAGAGGGUGGUGGAAUUUCCUGUGUAGCGGUGAAUUGCGUAGAUAUAGGAAGGAACACCAGUGGCGAAGGCGACCACCUGGGCUCAUACUGACACUGAGGUGCGAAAGCGUGGGGAGCAAACAGG